rnacentral:rRNA from 1 species
GAUGAACGGCUGGCGGCGUGCUUAAUACAUGCAAGUCGAGCGGAAGAUGUAGCAAUAUAUCUUUAGUGGCGAACGGGUGAGUAACGCGUUGGUGACCUGCCCCAAAGAGAGGGAUAACAGUUCGAAAGGACUGCUAAUACCGCAUGAGUUCACAGAGAUUGGAAGGCUGUGAAGAAAGGCGAAAGCCGCUUUGGGAGGGGCCUGCGUCCCAUCAGCUAGUUGGUAGGGUAACGGCCUACCAAGGCGAUGACGGGUAGGGGACCUGAGAGGGUGGCCCCCCACAAUGGAACUGAAACACGGUCCAUACACCUACGGGUGGCAGCAGUAGGGAAUAUUGGUUAAUGGGCGAAAGCCUGAACCAGCAACGCCGCGUGUGCGAUGAAGGCCUUCGGGUUGUAAAGCACUUUUAGUAGGGACGAGGAAGGACGGUACCUACAGAAUAAGCCUCGGCUAACUACGUG